ACGAACGCUGGCGGCGUGCUUAACACAUGCCAGUCGAACGGAAAGGCCCUGCUUUUGUGGGGUGCUCGAGUGGCGAACGGGUGAGUAACACGUGAGUAACCUGCCCUUGACUUUGGGAUAACUUCAGGAAACUGGGGCUAAUACCGGAUAGGAGCUCCUGCUGCAUGGUGGGGGUUGGAAAGUUUCGGCGGUUGGGGAUGGACUCGCGGCUUAUCAGCUUGUUGGUGGGGUAGUGGCUUACCAAGGCUUUGACGGGUAGCCGGCCUGAGAGGGUGACCGGCCACGUUGGGACUGAGAUACGGCCCAGACUCCUACGGGAGGCAGCAGUGGGGAAUAUUGCACAGUGGGCGGAAGCCUGAUGCAGCAGCGCCGCGUGCGGGAUGACGGCCUUCGGGUUGUAAACCGCUUUCGCCUGUGACGAAGCGUGAGUGACGGUAAUGGGUAAAGAAGCACCGGCUAACUACGUG
rnacentral:rRNA from 1 species